rnacentral:rRNA from 1 species
UACAGAGGUCCCAAGCGUUGUUCGGAUUCACUGGGCGUAAAGGGUGCGUAGGUGGUGAGGUAAGUCGGAUGUGAAAUCUCCAGCUACACUUGGAAGACUGCAUUGGAAACUACCUUGCUAGAGGAUUGAGGGGGAUUGGAAUACUUGGUGUAGCAGUGAAAUGCGUAGAUAUCAAGUGGAACACCAGUGGCGAAGGCGAAUCCCUGGAAAUACCUGACACUGAGG